GAUGAAGAACGUAGCGAAAUGCGAUAAGUAGUGUGAAUUGCAGAAUUACCUGAAUCAUCGUAUCUUUGAACGCACAUUGCGCCCCCUGGUAUUCCUGGGGGCAUGCCUGUUCGAGCGUCAUUAACAACCAAUCGGGCGGGGCUUUUGCAUGCUCCCGCUCGGCCAUGGGGGAUGGACGUCGUCGGACGCCCACCCCCGAAAUGCAACGGCGGACGGCCACCCGUGGCACUGCGGCGUAGUAAGUUAACCCUUCGCGCGCGCCCACGGAGUGGACUGCCCGGCCGCUUGAACCCCCACACAUCCUACGGUUGACCUCGGAUCAGGUAGGGAUACCCGCUGAACUUAAGCAUAUCAAUAAGCGGAGGA
rnacentral:misc_RNA from 1 species